UCGUUGUAGCUGACGUAGCUGUCGCGGGUGCUGCCGCAGGUGAUGCUGCGCAGCGUCGCCAGGUCGCCGUUCUGCACGGCGAUGUCGAA
rnacentral:tRNA from 1 species